UGCAGAGCUGGUGGGAGGCUUGGUCUAAAACCUGCUGUGGCCCCGUAGCUCUCCGAGCUCAACCUUGUCCUCCUUUUGCAACAGGCUGUCUCCUGAUCAUAUGCAGCCUUCCCAGGCUUUAAGGGCUACUCUGCUGUGGGGCUUGCUGAGCUCUUUCUUACAUUAAUUAAUGUAGCUUUACCUUUGGCAGCAGCCAAGGGAGCUGCCAGAGGUCUUACAUAGCAUUUAAAAUGUCAGCUGCCGGUCUGGAGCAGCUGCCAGCACUGGAGCUCUGGCAGUGGGAAUGCUGUCACAGGACAAAUGCAGGGAAUGGCAGUGUGGACACAGCGUGAGUCAGGCAGGGCAGGGACUUGUGUACAGAGUAUCCUGACGUUGGUAAAAUGCCCUUUGAAAUCUCCCAGCAAGUUGUCUCCUGUCUUGCUUGGGUCAUAUUUAAGGAAAUGCUGCUGGCUUCUGACUGUUGUGCUCUUCAAAUUAAACCUGAAAGAAGGAAAUAAACUUGCUUAAUUUAUGUAAAUUUGAAGGUUGGCAUGAUGUUAAAGAACUGCCCAGAAAAGGACGUAACAAAGUGAAAGGUCUUGGUGAAAUACUCCAGCUGCUUUACUUUUCACUGUCUGAAGACCUCGUUAUUCAGAUAAUGAGAUAAUAUUCUUUUAAGCAGUGAUACUUGUUGUGUAUGGCAUUGACAAUUGUGGACAUUAUCAAGGAAAAUAUCUCUUAAAACCUUA